AACAGCUGAUUUAGAAAAUACCUAAAAGAAUAAUAAAUUAAUAGCUAUCUAAUUUCAGUGACACAUGAGAAAGAUAAAUAGCAGAAGAGCGAGUGCUCCUUUCAGUUUGUAGUAUUUUGGUAUCUACCCUAUCUACAAAAGUUGGUGCACUGAUAAGUCCUAGGUUGUGAUUAAGAUUUUAGGAAAUAUACUAACAAAGUAAGGUUAAAAUUAAAUAAAAUGCCUCCCAAGAAACCGGAAAAAGGUAAAGCAGCAGGUGCUAAAUCUGGUGGAGGCAAAUCAGGUGGUGAUGCGAAAGAAUCGGCUGGAAAGGAGAAAAAAGGUGGUACAGCUGUCAAAGUACGUCACAUACUCUGUGAAAAGCAGUCAAAAUGUUUGGAGGCGUUGGAGAAAUUGAAAGCCGGACAGAAAUUUCCUGAUGUAGCGGCCGCGUACAGUGAGGACAAGGCGCGGCAAGGCGGAGAUCUCGGCUGGAUGACCCGAGGUUCUAUGGUGGGUCCGUUUCAGGAUGCGGCAUUCGCCUUGCCGAUAUCUACAGUCAAUAGUCCCGUAUACACUGACCCCCCAAUAAAAACCAAGUUUGGUUAUCAUAUCAUUAUGGUAGAAGGCAAAAAAUGACAGACAUGGUGUUUGAAUUUGAAUAUUUCUGGGCGAUACUUCUGCUGUUCAUAAUGGAAAGGAUUUGUUGCCUGCAAGAGCAGUUUGACAAGGAUUUCUCUAUACUGCCUGAUCCACAGAGAUCUAAUGAGUCGCUUAACAGUAAUAUGGAAGACUUUGCCAAUAGAGAUUUUGGUUUAAAACUCAGCUUUCUACGUCUGUGUCGUUUAAUGCAUGUCACGAUGCUACUGACUCUUGUCUAUUUCUGCAAUGUUUGCCUCUGGUUCAUAAUGACCAAGAAACCGACGCCCAGGUCGCUCAGAUACAAAUUCAAAGUAGCUAUACCCUCUUGAUGUUUACUGUGCUAUUUUUAAAUCAGAAAAAAUAAUGUAAAUUAUAUAAAACCUUUUUGAAGACAUAAAUGUGAUUGCUUAGAAACCAAUGAUUCACUGAUUUGAAAAUAGUGCAUAAUCUUUUUAAGGUGAAAUUUUAUUGUUAAGUGCAAUGCUCCAGUAAAUGCAUUUAUGUUGUUUCCAA